rnacentral:tRNA from 1 species
GGGCCCGUAGCUCAGCAAGGCAGAGCGGCGGACUUGCCCUCGGGAAGGUCGAGGGUUCAAUUCCCUCCGGGCCCGCCA